UACGGGAGGCAGCAGUGGGGAAUAUUGCACAAUGGGCGAAAGCCUGAUGCAGCUAUGCCGCGUGUAUGAAGAAGGCCUUAGGGUUGUAAAGUACUUUCAUCGGGGAGGAAAAAACAAAACUAAUAAUUUUAUUUCUUGACGUUACCCGAAAAAGAAGCACCGGCUAACUCCGUGCCAGCAGCCGCGGUAAUACGGAGGGUGCUAGCGUUAAUCAGAAUUACUGGGCGUAAAGAGCACGUAGGUGGUUUUUUUAAGUCAGAUGUGAAAUCCCUGGGCUUAACCUGGAACUGCAUUUUGAAACUGAAAUACUAGAGUAUCGUAGAGGGAGGUAGAAUUCUAGGUGUAGCGGUGAAAUGCGUAGAUAUCUGGAGGAAUACCUGUGGCGAAAGCGGCCUCCUAAACGAAUACUGACACUGAGGUGCGAAAGCGUUGGGGAGCAAACAGGGAUUUAGAUACCCGU
rnacentral:rRNA from 1 species